CUCUCAGUGGUCAGGUAUGUGGUCUGUGGCAUGUAGCCUCCCAGCACAGCAGUGUGAACCUCUUCACCGUCUCCUUCCCUCACUCUUGUUCACUGGCUUGCAAAGGAUCUGCUGGCUGAAGGUGUCCUUGUUCCGGGCUGAGGCGGGCUGAGGGAAAACCAGGUGGCUGCAGUGCCCCCUUGGUCCACUUGCUGAGGAGGCUGAAGCAGUGUGUUCAGGGCGAAUUGGAUGUCAGCCAAGCAGUCCAUGAGGCUCCGCGGGGCCCGGCCCCCAGUGGCCUCCAACCCUGCCCUCAGCAGCAGAGGAUUGCCCUCCGGUUCCACCUUUCCCACAGAUUCCACUCCCUACACUGAGGCAGCAGCUCCUCAGCAGGGAGACGGCACGGGGCCUUAGGGGCAGUGGGGGUCGCCCCAAGGACGGCAUGAACCCUCCAAACCCAGGAGGUAUCCCGUUUUGGUGGGUGGAGGGCUCCACUGUGUGUCAGGCCAGGGGACAGAGCCGGGGUCCUUCCCUCCUGGUUGUGGCCUAGGCUCGGUGCAGCUGAAUCGUUGUCCAGAAACGGCCAAUGAAGGCAGAAUCUGGGGUCUUCCUUCCCCUGGAAGAGAAGAGGAGGUUCUCCAGGUGGCUGGAUGGGGGUCCUGCGGUAGGGACUAACUCCACAGAGACAGUGGUUUUCCAGAAAGGCUGUCUGUAAUUCUCUCAUUCUGUCUCUCUCUGUGUCUGUUUCUUUGAGUCUCACUCAUGGGGCUCGGUGAGACCUCACUGGGGCUCUAACUGACAUGUGUCCUGUGUGGGGUGACUUUUUGGGUGUCAGAAGCAAGAUGUCAUUUCUCUGAGCUGUUUCAGCGCCCGUGUCCAGGAUUCGAGGCGUCUGAGCUAUGUGAGGGUCGACGUCCAGGACGUGAGAUCUCUGAGCUGUGGGGAAUUAUGUGUCCAGGGUGAGAGCCCUCUGGGCUGUUUAGGGGUCUCUCUUCCAGUGUGUGAGGUAUCUGAUCUGUUUUACGUGCUGUGUCCACAGUGUGAGGUAACGGGGUUGUGCCCAUUCUGUAUUUCAGGAACUAGGGUUUGAGCUCUCCUGGGUCGAGGAUGUGACGCAUUUGAGUUCCUCGGGGAUUCAUACCCUACGCUGUGAGAUCACAAAGGUUAUUUGACACAAGGUGGGAGGUAUCUGACCCUGUGAGGGUUCUGCAUCCUGAGUGUGACAUCUCUGACCUGGUUAUAAGUCUGCGUACCAGGGAUUAAGGUUGCUGGAAUUUCGAGGGGUCGACUGUGUCUCGGGUUAUGAACCUUGGGCGGGUGGGAUUUGGUGCACCACGCUCUGAGGUCUCUUAGAUGUUGGCUGCACGUAGCAUUGUGAGCGAGCUCUCUGUGUUCACUGUACCAGCGCUCUGAGCUGUUUGCAUGUCUGCAUCCGAGGGUGUGAGCUCUGUGAUGGUGUGGCUUCUGUGUGCAGGGUGUGAGGUCUGUGAGCUGUUGUGUUUCUGUCUCAUAGGUUAUGAAGUUGCUAAAAUCAUGCGGGCCUGUGUUUUAGAAUUUGUCGUCUCUGAGCUGAUUCUGUGUCUCUGGCCUCAUUUACUGAGUUUCUAGGAGUUUGAGUUCUGUGGAUUGUUUGGGGGGUGGGGGGGGGGGGUGUCCAGUGCAGUGAGGUCUCCUAGCUGCUCUUUCCUGGGUCUGUAUCUGGGUUUAGUGUGUCGUUGAGGUAUUGUGGGGUUUGUGAGCCAUAGUGUGAGGUCCUUGAGGUAUUUGGGAGUCUGUGUCCAGCGUCUGAUGCUUCAGAGCUGGUGGAGAUCCGGGUCCCAGAGCGAGGUCUGGUCUGUCUUUGGUUCUGUGUCCCAGUUUGAACCCCCCGAGCCAUUUGGGCAUUUAUAUCCCCAUGGAGAGACUUUGUCACAUACCAAAGUUCAGACGUGAGGUGUUUGUGACCUCCCCCCGAGGUUUCAGUCUGACAACUGUCCAGAAAGACAGGGAGAGAUUGAUCCAAGUUGGCUGUCUGUGAAUUCAUCCACUCCAGCUCCCAACAACCCGGCUUCCUUGUCUGGACCAUGGAGUAUAUGUGGUCGGCUUCCUUCAGACCCUCCACUCGGGUUGGGUUCUCACCACCCUGUCACCUGAAGGUCACAGGGUUCCCCUCGGUCCCAUUUGUGGGAAUCCCAUUGUGAGGAGGAGUUUAUUCUGUCCCCCAGACAAAAGACACAGUGUGGGGAACUCCUCUCUCACGAUGGAUGGGAGCUGCCCAUCUUGUCCUCUGAUGUCAUCUGUCUCCUCUCAGGCCCGAUGCCCAUAAAAUAAAGCUGGAUGCAUUCAUUUUGCAGCUUUCUGACUGUACAUUUGAAAGCCUGGAUCCCCUAUGCCCUGGAUGGGUGGUAGGAGAGUCGAGCUUUUUGGAUCAUCUUUCCAAACCUUAACUUGACCUUUCCAUGAUGAGGUUGUACAAACUGUACCUCAGCCCCUUCCCCAAAUGGCACACAUCUUCUGAAAGCAGAAUUCAGGGCUGGGGGAGGGGAAGGGAUCCAGGCAAAUUCCAUCUCCGGCCGGGGGGAGAGUGUGGGCCUGAGAUGACUCAGUUGGGGCGUUGGAGUCUUGUGCACAUAUUGCUUAAUAUAAAUGUGUGUUGGGUUGCAGAAAGAGUAAACAUCCUCCAGAAUUUUAUCUCCAUCUCUGAGACACCCAUGGUUUAAUCCUGUUAUUUCCUCAGGAACCACACAAUCCAUUCUGCACCAGGAGGUGAGGAUUCCAGGGGAGAAAAUUCUUUGUUCCUUUUCUGAAAACUGACAACCUGGCUAGAAGACAGACAGCAUGGCGGCCUGCCCACCAGACUGUGAGCUCUUCUCUGAGGACUGUUAUCCUGCACGGCAUCCCGUGCGCACAAAGUCUACCAAAGCAUGGAUCCUGGAGCCUGGUGCCUAGCAGGUGCUCCGAACACGUUUAUCCUGUGAGUGAUGGUGACAACCAGCGAUGCACACAGAGCAGUGUAGCUGUUGAAUGCAAGCUUCAUGAGAAUGGAGAGUCUGCAAAUUUUGUCCUGGGCAGUAUUCCCAGCACUGAGAAUGGAGCCUGGCACUAGGAAGUGAUAUGAAAUAUUUGCUGCGUGAGUUACCUGAUCGCUGGACCAGCUCUGGACGUGUAGUCUGGGUUCUUCUGGCUCCCCACGUUCCCUGCUACCUUCUAGUUCUUCGAGAACCUUCGUCUUCACCUUCCUGUCCAGACCCCAGGGCCGGCUGGAGCUUCGAGCACAGACUAGACCUCCAUGGAUCCCCUCCAGAAGCGUAACUCAACGUUGAUUUCUGAAUCUUCCCUGAUGACCUCUGAAGAGACAUCCAGGGAAGUCACAGCAGCCUCUCAUCCUUCCUUCUCAGGAUUGCUAAUGAUGGGCAUCAGUGACCUGAACCCCCAUCCUAGCACCAACUACUCUGCCCCUCUACCAGAGGGGCUGCUCCAGGAGCGGUACAGAGAUGAGGAAAUCCUGCAAGAGAGGCGGUGGAAAAGGUCAGCAUCCCCUCAGGGGAAGAAAACAUUCCUCGGGCACAUGAGACGGAGACACCUCGAUCACGUGGCACCUUAUCAGGUUGAAAGGGAAGCCAGAGUCUCUUCCUCAGAUGGUAGAGUUCAGAAUAGAUUCCGGUGUGAAUGUCGAUACUGCCAGAGCCGUAGGCCGAGUGUUUCUGGGAUGCCUGCGGAGAGGAAGGGGGCCCCACAUCCUUCCUCCUGGGAAACGCUAGUACAGGGCCUCAGUGGCUUGACCCUCAGCCUGGGUACCAACCGGCCCGGUCUUCUGCCGGAAGGGGUGCUCCAACAGCAGGAGAGAGAGGAGAAGCUCCAACUGGAGAUGCGGCAGGAAAGCAAAAGAAUGUUUCAGAGGCUCCUAAAACAGUGGUUAAAAGAAAACUGAGACUCUCAUCCUCAUGUGAUGGAGAUCUGAAUGGAUUCAGACGUGGAUGCUGGUGUUGCCAGAUCCUGGGCGUGGACUGCUUUUGGGGACCAAAGAAAUCCAAUGAUGUGUACCCAGGAAGUGACCAUGCAGUUCUUCUGAACUGAAAAUAAACUCUGCUUUCCGUUAGUCUGUGUCUUCAUGUAGUCCCCAGAGCUGUGUUGCUGCAAAAAAUCUACGCGUCUUCUGCAGACAGAAGUGGCUUGAGAACAGGUACGUUUAUUAGAUUCUGAACUUGUCAUCUCAUCAGAGAGCUUGGGAGCUUAACUGACCCUGCCAGGCUUGUCUCCCAGCUGGAGGGGAGAAGGUAAGUAAAGCAGGGCUUUUCUUUCUUGAAACUCAAAGGCCUAAAUUCGGACUGGUCAUCUGCAGUGUGUUUAGAAGGGGUAACACGGCGUUUCAUGUUUAUUGGUUGUUUACUAGAUGUCAGACAAUGUUCUACCUGUGUCCGUAGAUCAGCUUAUUUAAUCCUCUCCCACAGACCCAUCGUUUAGCAAGAUUCGAUCCCCAUUUAUGAAGUGGGAAAGCAGAGUAUAGAGCAGUUAGGGGACUUGCUCAGGGUCACACAGGCAAUAAGAGGGGUGUGGCACACAAACCUAGGCCGACUGGAUUCAGAGCCCCCGCUCUUAACCAUUCGCCGCACCGUAACCCCUUCAAGGCUGGGGGUGAAGCAUGAAGAGCUGGUGACUUCAGUGGAAGAUUCACUGCUGGCACCACAUAGCCUUGGUAACGUACAUCAUCGGAUCUUCCCCACAGUGCACUGGGGCAAGGAUAAUAUCCCCACCUGGCAGAGUUCACAGAAGUCAUAAAGUGAUGGCCUCACUCCAGCAGCCACACCCGGUCAAUCCUGCCAACCACAGUCUAGCCACUCAUGAAGGUUGGCAUUGUCUCCCCUUACCUCCCCCACUCCAUGCUAGGCUGGCUGUUGGGGCGGGGAAGUGAGGAGGAGCUGUAGAGCCCACCCCUGGCCUUGGGAGUUGAGCCUUUAAUCAGAGAGAGAUCUGACACCCAUAGGUAUGGUGGAGAGCCCAUCAUUGAUCCCCUGUGCGUCUCGGUUGCUGGGAGAUGAGAGGAGUGAAAAAAGGAUCAUGGUGGGGUGAAGUGGACGCUGGGGGCUUGCUGAGGGAGGUCCUAACUGCAGAGUUACCCAUGGACUCCAGGAGAGUGCAUGGAUAUGGGUGGGCGGGUGUAACUGAGGGAGUCAGCGGCACCACCCCUUCCCCAUCUCAAAGUCUUUGUCCCCACUCCCGUGUAUGGGGUGUAGGAGGAGACCUGGGGUCACAUCUGAGACAGCAUACUGUCCCAAGUUAUAGACCAGGAGCCGGAGUGUGGUGGUGUCCAGCAGGUCAAAUUCUAGACCAGAGACUGAGCCAGAGGCGCCAGGAAGCAAGAAAAUAUUGGGAGAGAGUGGGCUUAAAAUGUAAUGCCCAGAUAGAAAAAUCAGAAGGUACCUAUUGCAAGUAAAGAAGUCAAAUUAUUAAAUUAAAAACCUUCCCACAAAGGAAAGCCCGGGGCCAGCUGGCUCCAUUGGUGAAUUCUAUCAGACGUUCAGAGAAGAAAUAAUACCCAUCCGUCACAGACUCUUGCCGAAUAGAGAGGAGGAGGGAACAUUUCCUAAGUCAUCCUAUGAGAACAAUAUUACUCUGCUACCAAAGCCAGACAUGACAUCACAAGCAAACUAUAGACCGACAUCCAUCGUGAAUAUCGAUACAUAAAUCCUCAACAAAAUAUUAGCAAACCCAGUCCAGCAACAUUUACAAAGGGGUAUGCAACACAACCAGGCGAGAUUUACCCCACGGUUGCAAUAUUGGCUUAACAUUCAAAUUCAAUUAAGGUAAUACACCACAUUAAUAUAACAAGGGACAGAAACCAUCCGAUUGUCUUGACAGACAAAGAAAAAGCAUCUGACAAAAUUCAAGACCCGGUCAUGAUUUAAGAAAUGCUCAACCAACUAGAGAUAGAAGGGAAUGUCCUCAAUCUGAUGAAGGACAUCUACAAGAAACCUGCUGCUCCCAUCACAUCAUAUUUAUUAGUGAAAGAAUGGAUGCUUUCCCCUUAUAAGAUCCAGACCAAGGCAAGGAUGUCUGCUUCCCCCACGGCUACCCAACAUUGACUGAAGGUUCUAGCCAGUGCCAAUAUGCAAGACAAAGAAAUGAAAACAUGGAGAAGUUGGAAAUGAAACCUAUGUCCACGCAAAGACUUGUGUUCAGAUGUUCACAGCAGCAUUGUUCGUAAUCGCCCAAAAGUGGAAACAAUCUAAAAGUCUGUCGACUGGUGAACGGAUAAACAAAAUGUGGUAUUCCCAUAGAGUAGAAUACCAUUGAUCCAUAAAAAGGGCAAACUUCUGAUUUCUGCUACCACUUGGGUGAGCCUCCAAAGCAUGAUGCUACGUGAAAGAACCCAGACACAAAAGGCCACUUAUUGCUUGAGUCAGUUUAUAUGAAAUGCAAAGAAAGGGCAAAUCUGUAGAGACAGAAAUUAGAUUAGAGGUGCCAGAGUCUGGAGGUGAUAAUGGGGAUUCACUGCUAAUGGGUAUACGGGAUCUUUUUGGGGUGACGGAAAUGUUCGAAAACUGGGUUGUGGUGAUGGUUGCGGAUCUCUGUAAAUUUACUAGAAGUCACUGCAUUGGACCCUUGAACUGGGUGAAUUUUGUGGUAUGUAAGUUAUACUUCAGUAGAGCUGUUUAGCAAAUGUAAUACAAAUAUCCACGGAAGUCAUCCAGGAAAAGGUACGUCGUUGCUUAUAUAGCACUAAGGAAUCCCCCCCCCCCCACCUCGUUCCAUGUUCUGGGUCCUGCCUACGUGACCCAUCAUCACCUGCCUCCUCCAAGUGUACUAGAUGCUCCCGCCAGACAGAGUCACUGUACACAUCAGGGUAGAAGGAGUGCUGGUGAGUGCACACAUGUGUGCGUGUUUCUCUGUGUGUUCACGUGCAGGCGCCCUUUGGGUGAACAUAAUGGUUGACUCGCAAUUCCAUGGCUGAGGGAAUCCACCCUGGGUCUGAAAUGCCACUCAGGUGUUUUUCUGUUCUCCACGAAUCCCCUGGACCCGGCUCAGUUUCCCUGAGCCCUUAGCUUCAACCUCUGGUCACAGGAAGACAUGUAGAGUGGUGAGGGGUCUCGUCCCCCUAUAGGGAACCCUGCCCGAGCUCAGUGACCGGGUGGGGAUGCGCAACAGAGCAGUGACCAAGACAAUGGAACUCCAGCCACCUUUCCACCCCAAGGCCCUUCUCCCUCCCCUCCACCUGCCUGGGGGGUCACGUAAGGAAGGGGACGUUGGGGCAUAAACACACUCCUGAGUCCUUGAAAUUGUUCUAAACAUGGCUGUAAAAUAAAGUAAACAUGUCAAAAAUAGCUCUCAAAAGAGAAGAUACAUAUUAAUUUUUUUUUAAUCCAGAAAUGACAAACAUGGCUCUAAAGUCCAAAAUUCUAUUUAAAACCAAGGGAGGUGAAACACAGCGUGUGCUUAUGCUUCUCAACCUCGCGCGGCAUCACAUCUCCCCUGGAGCGGUUUUAAAAGAAGAUGAUGGGGGCCGGCCAGAUGGCAUAGCGGUUAAAUUUGCUCCCUCCGCUUCCGCAGCCCAGGGUUUGCUGGUUCAGAUCCCGGGGUGCGACCUACACACCGCUUAUCAAGCCAUGUGGCGGCAGGCGUCCCACAUAUAAAGUAGAGGAAGAUGGGCAUGGAUGUUAGCUCAGGGCCAGUCUUCCUCAGCAGGAAGAGGAGGAUUGGUGUUGGAUGUUAGCUCUGGGCUGAUCUUCCUCAAAGAAAGAAAGAAAAAAAAAAAGGUGGCGCACCAUCCCCAGAAAGUCUGAAUUAGUGGGUCUGGAACGUGGCCCCGGCAUGAACAUUACUGGAAAACUUCUAUGAAAGGCUAGAUUGCAGCUGUGGAAACAGAACCUUCCUUCUAGGAGGAAACCUAAAAUCGGAGAUUUGAGACUUCUCUUUACAAGGAGAGCAGGUUUGCAUCAUUACCUGCUGUGCUUGGCAGAUAUCUUAGGAAAGGAAAAAAUAUGACAACGCGAAUGUGUGUUUUAAGACUGACACUGUACUUGCUGUUCUCCACGUUCCUGAAAUCAAAAUUUUGAAGUUAAAACCCAUUAGUAUUUGCUAAUGAAACAUCUAAGUUUUUAUUUCUCGUCCAGCCAUUGUGCUUACUUUAAAAUUUGUAAAGCAUUGUCUAGAUGAUGCCAUGAGACACGUCACAACAUUUCUUUGAAAAUUACAGAUGACUAGAUUUGUAUCGGUUGAUGCAGAAGGAUCUGCCGUCAGGCUUAUCUGCUAAGUUUGUUGAGUUGCAUUUUUUAACUUUUUAUUAUAAUUUAUGUUAUCAAAGUAAUUCACACUCAGAUAAAAGACCAUAUAGGACCAGGAUAUUUAUGAUGAAAAAUAAAAUUCAGCAAUCCCUUGUAUCAUGCACACCCAUGGACUUUCCUCCGCCUCCCCAAACUUUCUCCUUCAGCGAUUUCUUCUGGAUAUGCAUCUCCAUAUUCCCAAAUCAUGGGCUUAUACUGCUAUGUCUGGAUUCAUUGAGUUUAGACAUUAUUUGUUGAGUUCUUACAGAAGAUGAGGAUUUCCCUCUCUCAGGUAUAUUGCAGGGCCCAGGUUCUCCUUGGAGUUCCUGUGAGGGGCCCACCCAAACCGGUGCACACGUCUCUGCUCAGGAUGUGUUCAGAGUGUGUCUGCCAAGAACGAGCCCUCACAGGGGACUUUAUGCACAUCUGUGGCAACAUGAAGAUCAUGGUUUAGCCUUUUCCAGAGCAGGUCCAGGGAGUCACAGGGUGGUGGAAAGCACACCUAGCAGCAUCCCCAGGGGUUUGGUUUAAGGAAUCGGGUGGAUGGCAGUGCCCAUCCAUGAGACAGGGGUCAAAGGUUUGGGGUCACCUGCAUAUUUGCAGGGUUUGUGGGACAUCUGAGUAGAGAUGCCCCAUAGGUCUCAGCCUAUGGGGAGGCCCUGGGGCCCAGCUGAGAUUUCUUAGGCAGACGUGGUGAUGAGAAAAGCUGUCACCAUACAAGGGGAUACAGAUGAAAACAAGUCAGAUGGGGGACAGUUCUGGGUGGUGAUGUGGUCACCCACGGAUCUUGUGCUGAGUGAGAAGAGCACUGGGCAGAGGUUGGAAACCAGGAAGAAACAAGAUUUAGCAGGGGAUCAAAGAAAAAGGACCAAUGAGGAGACUUGGAAGUAGUGGUCUGAGAGGUAGGAGGAAAGCCAAGAUGGGCUGCUGUCACAGACGCUGAGAAAGGAGAGCAUUUUGAAAAAAAGGAAUGUUAACUGUGGCCAAGACAGCAUCGGGUACUUUGGGUUUGGCAACAUGGAGCCCGUUGGAGAAUUUAGCAAGGGGAUGGUCCAUGGAUGGGGGCAUAUUGAGGGGGAAUCGAAAGGUAACCAAAUAAGUAUGCUGUUGGAGUUUACACUUUCAAGAAGCUUGGCUUGGAAGGAAUCAAAGACACGGGGUAAUAGAAGCAGAUGGCCAUGUGCUUUUCAGGGUAUGUUAUUUUCUGUCCCCAACAAUGAGAGAGAAAAACAUCAGGAUGCAGGUUCCAGAAAUCCCUCACUGUCGGGAGAACUGUUGAGUAGAUGACAGAGUUAUCAAGAGUUGGGAUAAGCCUCACAGGUGAUUCUUCAAGUUGAGGAGGGAGGAAUGGGGGUUUCAAAGCAGCAGUGGAGUUGCAGGGAGACUUCCAUCCCCUCUUCCCACCCUCAUUCUUACCUCCGGGACCCAUGGAGAUGUGUGUGGACUGAGAGAUACAACAUCUUCCAGGUAAAAGGCCUCAAAUGGGUGGUGUUGGGGAGAGUCCAAGAUUGAGUUAACUCAGAAUAGAGUGAAAUUGAGGGGGGAGGGAUUGGGAAGCUUUGGCAAAGGCGGCAUCAGAGGGAAGAGAGUCCUGCUGGGGGAGGACACAGCAGUCCUGUGGUGAGGGCAACGGAUGUAACGGGCUUGGGUUUGGAGUGAUGGCAGGGGCUGGAGACAAAGGCAUUUGAGUGGCCUUGAGAUUCACACCGAAUGUCUGCUGCAAAGAUGUUACUUGAUUCAGGACGCUAGAAGCACAGAAAGCUAUGAGAAGCUAGGAGAGGUUUGGCCUCAAUGUUUCAUAUCUGUGGCGAGGAGGCUGUGCUUUGGGGUCUUCCAGAUGAUGAACAGAGGGGCUGGUCCAUAGAGCGAAAGAACAGAACUCCCUUGUGAUUCUGGCCCCUGCAAAGGUGAGAUAGCAGAGUCUCUAGUCCUCAGAUCACCAUGAAGGGGAUGCAAAGGCCCAGGGCUCGGGUGGGGCGCUUUGGAAGUGCAGGGAGAGGCCUGAGUCUGAAGUCUUCAAAGAUCUUACCCAAGGGCCACCGGUAUCAGGCCACCAUCAAAUAACUGAGGUGUAUGCUUUCCAGCAAAGUAGCAGGGUUCAAUCCAAAAGAGAUUUCUGCCAGAGCGACCUGUGCACAGCCCAGGCACUAUCGGAACUCGAGGUCUUUGUGAAGGACGUCCCGUUUUUCCAUAGCUCCUUAACCUCUGUUUGGCCAGUGGGGAAGGAUAGGACUAGAUCUGAGAGGGCGCCCCAAUGAGGAAAGGAUACCAGGUGGGGCAUGACUGUGACAGGGGGAGAACCAAGCCAUUCCUCCAAGUUGACCCCCUUAGCUCCCCGGGGUGAGACACAAGAGCCGUGGUGGCUUCUUUGGGACUAGUUCCUGGUUUCCAUUUGAAAGGCUCCUGGGCCUCAGAGCACUGCUGUCUCCUUAAGAUGAAGGGGUGUAGAAGGCACGAUUUUCUGAGUUACAAGAACCAAAUGAGGCAGUGGGUAUAUAAAUGUUUUCUAAGUCACAUAGCUCCACAUAAAGUGAGCCUGUGAAAACUGGUAUUGUUUCUGCUGUUUGAUUGUUGUUGCUGCUAUUAUUCAAUGUGCUCUCCUCGAUAGAAAACACACUCAAGAAGCCAACGACUACCUAGAAGUGGAGACCUGAGACACGCCCCUUGCCAGGAGCAUUUGAUUGCCACUCACUCUCUCAGGGCAAAAGCCGUUGCCUGUGCUCGAGGGCACGCAAGGUCUAGGAGAAAUGAGGAGGGUCUCCCUUGAAGAAUAGGAGCCAGUGGGUGAGCAAGAGACCUUGGGAGAUAUUUCUGAGUCUGUCAGCAGCUACUGAGAUUCUCACCCAUGCCUCUUGACUCUAGGGAGGAAACUGGCAUUGUUACCCUCAAAAGAAAGGAAGGAAAAGAAGGGGGGGAGAAAAAGUCAACCCUACUUCUUCUAAUAAAAAACAUUGGCUUUCUGCA